rnacentral:tRNA from 2 species
GGGGCAUUAGCUCAGCCGGGAGAGCGCGUGGUUCGCAAUCACGAGGCCAGGGGUUCGAUCCCCCUAUGCUCCACCA